UAGACCUACGGGACGCAGCAGUGAGGAAUAUUGGUCAAUGGGCGGGAGCCUGAACCAGCCAAGUCGCGUGAGGGAAGACGGUCCUAUGGAUUGUAAACCUCUUUUGUCGGGGGGCAAAGAGGCCACGUGUGGUCAAAAGCGAGAGUACCCGAAGAAAAAGCAUCGGCUAACUCCGUGCCAGCAGCCGCAGUAAUACGGAGGAUGCGAGCGUUAUCCGGAUUUACUGGGUUUAAAGGGUGCGUAGGCGGGACGGUAAGUCAGCGGUAAAAAUGCGGAGCUCAACUCCGUCGAGCCGUUGAAACUGC
rnacentral:rRNA from 1 species